AUUAAUUAUUAAUGGGAACACCUUAUUUAAUUAUUGUCAAAAGUAUUUUCUUAGAAUAUUAAAAACCAGUUCGUACAAAAUUCCCUUGGUGACGUCAUACUGGGUGUAUGGUGGUCACAUUGAUAUUUCUUGAGGUUGGUACUGAACACCGGCCGCUAGCUGUCACGAGGCCGGAACGGUGAAGAGGGAAGCUUUGGUCUUGGGAGUGUCAAUAAGAAUGGCGGCGUGAGUUUUCUAAUUAUAUAAUUAAAAUAAGUUAUUUCCAGUUGCAUAGUUCCAUUAUUGUUGUUGCAAGUUAUAGAAAGUUGAGUGAAUUAAAGUGACGGAAUAAUGAAACUGUAAGAAAAAGGAUCUCACACCGCCAUUCGGGAGAAAUCUAUUAUUACCGCUGGUAAACCCUCUCUAACACCGAGAGCAGACACUUCCAAGAUUCAGUCAACCAGGGAACAAGUCUAAGGAUACAGUCCCAUUUGUUUUGUUUUGGUUCAUCAUCCUGCAUCCUCCGAGGGACAGGUUCAUUAGCUAUUGGGCAGUUGCACCACUUCGGUGUUAACUUCGUACCACGGAUUUGGUACCACACACCAAGGAUCAGUGUUGGAACGUGUGAAAAGGGGUUUGUUUUGGGGGACAAUUAUUCAUACUAGUUAAAGACUUAUACUGUUUUUUUUUGUAAUAUUCAGGACAUUUAAGUUAGAUACACAUAAGUUCAUAAUUUAAUUACACAUAAAUAUUUUUUUCUUUCUCUACAAAUUUAAGUACAUUUUAGUUAUAAUAGCCAUACCUAACAGUACUGUUCCCCCAAAUUUAUAUAAUUCCUGGUAGAAGUUUCUAGCUCGAAGAUUCUCCCCAUACAUGUUCUUUCCCCUUGGUUCGUAUUAAUUUUAGACUUGUUUUCUCAGUUAAUUUAAAAAUAAUAUUAGUUCAAUUCACCUAAAUUUAAAAUCAUUCAACUUAUUUCAUAAUUUUUCAAUUUGUAUUAGAUUUUUGUAAAUAUUAUUUAACGUUAACUAUUAAUUUUUUUAUAUUAUAUUUGAAUAAAUCCCUAGUACCCAUCCCCUCAGGAAGGUACUAGUUUUACUUGCGAUUAUUAUUUAGAACCACUAGUCAGAAAAGGAUCUUUUGUAUCCAGUACUAAGUUGGUUCAUUUAGGGACUUGUUACCCGUCAACACAUUGAGAGUUGUAAAAUAUAUAUUAUUUACAUUAGGUAUUUUCCUUAUUCUAUUAU
rnacentral:lncRNA from 1 species